AUUUCAGCACCCCUACAAAAAUAAAGUUAAUUUACAUAAUAUUUUAUUUUAUAAUAUAUUUUAAAAUAAGAAGGAGGAAGUGAAAUUCAUGGAGCAGUUUAAAGUGGAAACUUUGUUCUUACCAUGAUGGACCUAUAAAGAAACAAACUGUUCUGGCAGUUAGUUACUGCUGAAAACACAGCGGAAGAAGCGGUGAAAACAAAAGUGGUUGAUAUCGCAUCUGAAAUAGUCACGUUGCCUACGUUUACUGGAUACCAUAAAAAGACACCAGUGCUGAACUUGAUGAAGAUAAUAAGGUUGCCAGUGCUGAGGUUGAUGAAGGUGAGCAGCAUGCUGCCUGCCAGUGUAUCAUGAGGCCGACUGUUAUUCAGGGGCGGUUCCUUAGAGGAGGCAACGAAGGCAACACCUCCUCGUGAUUUAAAAAAAUAAAAAUAAAUAACAAGAUUCACGUGAUGAUGAAAUUAUUAUUCAAUUCUU
ensembl:lncRNA